rnacentral:rRNA from 1 species
CCUACGGGGCGCUGCAGUGGGGAAUAUUGGACAAUGGGCGAAAGCCUGAUCCAGCCAUGCCGCGUGUGUGAAGAAGGCCUUCGGGUUGUAAAGCACUUUCAGUGGGGAAGAAAGCCUUGGGGCUAAUACCCUCGAGGAAGGACAUCACCCACAGAAGAAGCACCGGCUAACUCCGUGCCAGCAGCCGCGGUAAUACGGAGGGUGCGAGCGUUAAUCGGAAUUACUGGGCGUAAAGCGCGCGUAGGCGGUCUGAUAAGCCGGUUGUGAAAGCCCCGGGCUCAACCUGGGAACGGCAUCCGGAACUGUCAGGCUAGAGUGCAGGAGAGGAAGGUAGAAUUCCCGGUGUAGCGGUGAAAUGCGUAGAGAUCGGGAGGAAUACCAGUGGCGAAGGCGGUCUUCUGGACUGACACUGACGCUGAGGUGCGAAAGCGUGGGUAGCAAACAGGAUUAGAUACCCCGGUAGUC